GACGUAGGGCGCGAGCGUUGUCCGGAUUUAUUGGGCGUAAAGAGCUCGUAGGCGGUUUGUCGCGUCGUCCGUGAAAACUCACAGCUUAACUGUGAGCUUGCGGUCGAUACGGGCAGGCUAGAGUUCGGUAGGGGAGACUGGAAUUCCUGGUGUAGCGGUGAAAUGCGCAGAUAUCAGGAGGAACACCGGUGGCGAAGGCGGGUCUCUGGGCCGAUACUGACGCUGAGGAACGAAAGCGUGGGGAGCGAACAGG
rnacentral:rRNA from 1 species